rnacentral:lncRNA from 1 species
UGCAUAUAUACAUGAAGCAUUUAUGGAAAAUACCUGAUUAACAAAGGUAAAUAGAUUUCUUUAAUAUAAGACUUGAGAUAUGUCUAAUCAAGCCACAAGACAAUUUUAAAUUACCAUGAUUAAUUUAUGCACUUCAAAAAUAAAGCAAUCAAGAAGUUAAAUUUGCAAGAAUGAACACACUAGCCUUGGAAUAACAUGUUAAACUUCCAUCAAACAUUCUGUGGUCUGAAACUGUCAGGAUGUUUCUGGAUUACUGGUGCAUGGUCAAGCAAAGAAAGACUACUCACAGUGGGAUUAAAGGCAUUUCCCUAACCAGUUUCAAAUUUUCCAGUUGCCAAGUGAUGCCAUACCCUUUAGGUGUUACAGGAUUAAGGUCAAAGAACUCAUAUCAUUCCUAAGUCUCCUUUUUAGUGAAAAUAUCACCAGAAAAAAUUUAGUUAAUUUGUAAGGAGACCGACAAAGUUAGCAGACAUCCAAAUACACCCAAAAACAUAGAGUACCAAAUGAAAGUUGAAUAUCAGCUAAACAACAAAAUUGUUUGAGCAUAAGUAUAUCUCAAAUGCUGUAUGGGAUAUACUUAUACUAAAAAUUUUUUUGUUGUUUCUACAGAGGACACCUCAUGUUUGAUAAACAACCAAAUUUCCUUACUCUGGAAUUAGCAGUGCCUUUCCCAGCCCUUAGGAUUCACAGUAGUCCCAUAUUCAUAUUAUACCUUUUCUCCCUUACCAUGUUUAAUGGAUCAAGGGGUUUAUAAGUUAGCAUUCUAGUCUCUAGUAAUCUCAGAGUGAAGCUGGAAUAUAAUUCUUGGUGGCAGAGCCAGGUGAUGGGAAUCCAGGGAGGUUUGUAGCCAAGUGACCUACCGAGUUGAAGUUGCCCACCUGCAGUGAGAAAGCAAUAAAGCCAACAUUCUGGGAGAACCAAAGUGGGGAAAAAAGCAAAACACAUCCUUGGUACUUUUAAAUCCCUGGAACCAAGUUUCAUAAGCCCCAACUGCAUUUAUGUUCUUCCUGAGGUUUGGCAGUUCAACACUUCCUAUGAUUUAAUGAGACACUAAAAACCUCUCCAACUGCUUGAGCUAAUUCAACUUGUAUUUGUUCUUUCCAAUAAAACAUCAUGAGUUAUAAAAUUUCAAUGAAACAUUGUUUAGGGUGCUUAAGCAAAAAUUAAUUAUCUCAGAAAGACUAAAGAAAUAUUAAUUGCUCACCAUUUUUAGGGAUAAACUUGCAUAAUGGAGAUGUGCCAUACCCACAUUACCCAACUGUGUCACCAAGACCCAUUAUGCAGGGAGUAGACCAUAGGGCUUACCCAUAGAAUAUAUGUGAGCAGCAUUUGGCCACAUGAUCCGACAUAUUCCAAGCAACUCUAAAAUUCUAUGACUUUGUAACAUUUCAACAAUUUCUCAGUCUCACUUGGUGGUUAUAUUUGCUACAAAAAUAUAAUCAAAGAAACAAUGCUGCAUACAAUAGCCAAGACAUGGGAGCAACCUAAAUGUCCAUCAUCAGAUGAAUGGAUAAAGAAGAUGAGGUACAUAACGCCAAGGAAUAUUACUCAGCCAUUCAGUUCAGGUCAGUUCAGUUCAGUCACUCAGUCGUGUCCGACUCUUU